AUACGUAGGGGGCGAGCGUUGUCCGGAAUUACUGGGCGUAAAGGGUGCGUAGGCGGCCCUUUAAGUCGGAUGUGAAAGCCCGCGGCUUAACCGCGGAAUGGCAUUCGAAACUGGAGGGCUUGAGUGUCGGAGAGGGUAGUGGAAUUCCCAGUGUAGCGGUGAAAUGCGUGGGUAUUGGGAGGAACACCAGUGGCGAAGGCGACUACCUGGACGAUAACUGACGCUGAGGCACGAAAGCUAGGGGAGCAAACAGGAUUAGAUACCCUGGUAGUCCUAGCCGUAAACGAUGGGUACUAGGUGUGGGUGGUUUCGAUACCAUCCGUGCCGUAGUUAACGCAUUAAGUACCCCGCCUGGGGAGUACGAUCGCAAGGUUGAA
rnacentral:rRNA from 1 species